GAGCAAUGAUGAAAACAUUUUACUACUGACCUGUGUAACUAUGAAGGUUUCUACACUUGACCUGAGCUCA
rnacentral:snoRNA from 1 species